UCGGGAAUUUUGGGCAAUGGGCGAAAGCCUGACCCAGCAACGCCGCGUGAGGGAUGAAGUAUUUCGGUAUGUAAACCUCGAAAGAAUGGGAAGAAUAAAUGACGGUACCAUUUAUAAGCUCCGGCUAACUACGUGCCAGCAGCCGCGGUAAUACGUAGGGAGCAAGCGUUGUUCGGAUUUACUGGGCGUAAAGGGCGCGUAGGCGGCGCGGUAAGUCACUUGUGAAAUCUCUGAGCUUAACUCAGAACGGCCAAGUGAUACUGCUGAGCUAGAGUGCGGAAGAGGCUACCGGAAUUCUUGGUGUAGCGGUGAAAUGCGUAGAUAUCAAGAGGAACACCUGAGGCGAAGGCGCGUUGCUGGGCCGACACUGACGCUGAUGCGCGAAAGCCAGG
rnacentral:rRNA from 1 species